GAUGAAGAACGUAGCGAAAUGCGAUAAGUAAUGUGAAUUGCAGAAUUCCGUGAAUCAUCGAAUCUUUGAACGCACAUUGCGCCCCCUGGUAUUCCGGGGGGCAUGCCUGUCCGAGCGUCAUUACAACCCUCAAGCUCAGCUUGGUGUUGGGCCCCGCCGCCCCGGCGGGCCCUAAAGUCAGUGGCGGUGCCGUCCGGCUCCGAGCGUAGUAAUUCUUCUCGCUCUGGAGGUCCGGUCGCGUGCUCGCCAGCAACCCCCAAUUUUUUCAGGUUGACCUCGGAUCAGGUAGGGAUACCCGCUGAACUUAAGCAUAUCAAUAAGCGGAGGA
rnacentral:misc_RNA from 1 species